rnacentral:piRNA from 3 species
CGACCUGCUUCUGGGUCGGGGUUUCG